GACGAACGCUGGCGGCGUGCUUAACACAUGCAAGUCGAACGGAAAGGCCCUGCUUUUGUGGGGUGCUCGAGUGGCGAACGGGUGAGUAACACGUGAGUAACCUGCCCUUGACUUUGGGAUAACUUCAGGAAACUGGGGCUAAUACCGGAUAGGAGCUCCUGCUGCAUGGUGGGGGUUGGAAAGUUUCGGCGGUUGGGGAUGGACUCGCGGCUUAUCAGCUUGUUGGUGGGGUAGUGGCUUACCAAGGCUUUGACGGGUAGCCGGCCUGAGAGGGUGACCGGCCACAUGGGGACGGAGAUACGGACCAGACUCCUACGGGAGGCAGCAGUGGGGAAUAUUGCACAAUGGGCGGAAGCCUGAUGCAGCAACGCCGCGUGCGGGAUGACGGCCUUCGGGUUGUAAACCGCUUUCGCCUGUGACGAAGCGUGAGUGACGGUAAUGGGUAAAGAAGCACCGGCUAACUACGUG
rnacentral:rRNA from 1 species